GUGCCAGCAGCCGCGGUAAUACGUAGGUGGCAAGCGUUGUCCGGAUUUAUUGGGUUUAAAGGGUGCGUAGGCGGCCUUGUAAGUCAGUGGUGAAAUACUCCAGCUUAACUGGAGGGGUGCCAAUGAUACUGCAGGGCUUGAGUACAGAUGAGGUAGGCGGAAUUGACGGUGUAGCGGUGAAAUGCAUAGAUAUCGUCAAGAACACCGAUAGCGAAGGCAGCUUACUGGGCUGUAACUGACGCUGAGGCACGAAAGUGUGGGGAUCAAACAGGAUUAGAUACCCUGGUAGUCC
rnacentral:rRNA from 1 species